GGGAGCGGCUGCGCUGCGCGGCCGGCAGGUGGCAGCAGGCGGCGCGCGGCUCCUGGCGGGCGGCGGGCGGGAGCGAGGGGAGAGGAGGCUGAGCCCGAGCCCCGGAGCCGCCGGGAACCUGCUCGGGUCCUGCGGGGCUCCGGCAUUCCCGGCCGAGGGCGCACCGCCUCCCAUGCGCCGGGGGCCGCGCGGCUCUCAGCCCUCUCGCCCCCGAGAGCGCCUCGUCGCGGGGCGCCCGGACGGGACGCCGGCGCGGAGCGGAUUUGUGUGUGAUUGUCAUUGUGCUGUGCCACAGUGAAGAGGUAUUUUUCACUUCAAGAUACCUUGCAUUAAAAGAUCAUGGUAGACAGUUUAAUAGUUUCUUUGAGACUUCUCAGUUCCCUAGCAGUGCUGGGAUUUCAGCUUGUCAUCCCACAGCCUUCAAUUGAACACAGAAAGGUGCCGCAGAGGAUAGAGGAGCACGGCGAUGCCCCCGAGGACAGCGGCGGAGU
rnacentral:lncRNA from 1 species